UCUCUGGUGGUCCAGUGGCUAAGACUCUGAACUCUCAAUGCAGGGGACUUGGGUUUGAUCCCUGGUCAGGGAA
rnacentral:tRNA from 1 species